rnacentral:rRNA from 1 species
GACUAACGCUGACGGUAUGCCUUAUACAUGCAAGUCGAACGGUAAGGCCCUUCGGGGUACACGAGUGGCGGACGGGUGAGUAACACGUAGGAAUCUACCUUAGAGUGGGGGACAACCAAGAGAAAUCUUGGCUAAUACCCCAUAUGCCGCAAGGUGAAAGGUUUUUCGCUCUAAGAGGAGCCUGCGUUGGAUUAGCUAGUUGGUGGGGUAAAGGCCUACCAAGGCUACGAUCUAUAGCUGGUCUGAGAGGAUGAUCAGCCACAAUGGGACUGAGAUACGGCCCAUACUCCUACGGGAGGCAGCAGUAGGGAAUCUUGCGCAAUGGACGAAAGUCUGACGCAGCAAUACCGUGUGUGGGAAGACGCUCUGUGGAGUGUAAACCACUGUCAGAUGGGACGAAAUAAGUGACUGUACCAUCAAAGGAAGCACCGGCUAACUCUGUGCCAGCCGCCGCCGUAAUAC